rnacentral:misc_RNA from 1 species
GCAUCGCAGCGACGUACGACGGGUUGCGUACUGAACGGAACGAAAGGGGGAUGAUUGGCCUCAACGGCGUACCAGUCAGCCCCAAGUUGCGCUUUGAAAUGGCUGUGCGUUUUCAAAUUUCCUGUUUUGAUUGAUAAAUUCGUUAUCUAUUUUUAACUCUUUUUUCUUUUCGAACCGUAUAAGUUGUCGCAGUGGCUUAUAAAGUGCUUGUCUCACGGUUCGCCCGGAACCCUCACUCAUCCGUCCAUAAUGCCGAGGAAAAUAGGAUUCACCGUUGUUUAUGCCACGAGUGAGGAAGAUCGACACUCUUCCUUGGAGCUUAACGUCCACGGACCGACGGUGCGCGGGUGGCAGAGCGGUCGAAGAUGUGGAUACCCUCAAGAACUCGUUCUUAGACUUCACGGGCCGACCAAGCUCUCGAGAAUACAAGUUUUGGCUCAUCAAUACCUCAUACCGGAGAAAUUGGAGAUAUGGACGUCACAGGAGACGAAUGGUACAAAUUCAACGGACUUCAAUUAUCUGGGGUACAUUACGUUGUCCGAUAACGCAUCGACUCUAUACAAGAGCAGGGAGUUGAAGAGCGUCGCUCUUCCCGAAACCGACGCUGCCACUUUGAAACUCAAGCUGCAUAAACCGCACAAGAAUGCCCACAAUGUUCACGAGCAGGUGGGUCUAAUAGCGAUAAACAUCCUUGGUGAACCCUACGGCCAGGAAUACUGCGGUCAAGGUGAUGCACCUUACAACCCGCACUACACUUCACCCUAUGAUGACCUCGCUUUUGAAAUGUACGUUGACCGUGAAGUGGCGAAAAUUAUACGACAAAUGGAAACGAAAAAGCUGCAGGCGGCUGAAGAAGAAAGAUUUGAAUACGCGUCAAAGUUAAAAGUGGCUAUGGAGAAUCUAAGGAAAGCCGGGGAACGUCUUGGUAAAUAUGAAUUGGAAAAGAAAUAUGCUAUCGCACUGGAAGAUUACGAUAAGGCAAAAGUGAAGAAGGCUCAAGCGCAGCAGUACAGACAGCAGGUCUAUCAAAGUUUAGAAAUUGAAGAUUUACUCGAAGUUCAUGGCCCAUUGGAAAAAAAUGACGAGUCCAUCAUAGAAGGGAAAGAGCCGGUGUCAGCUGAUGCAAUUGUAUCCGCAACGGCAGCUCAAGUGGUUGAAGACAUUACUUCGCCACCAAGACUAGUCGUUCCGCCAAGCCGAGACGGUGCCCUGUCUCCUACCGGUCCUGCCCAUCAACAACCACCGUCACCGCUUCAUCAAAAGCCUAGUAGUCCGGAGGUGCUGGAUCACCCGACAAGUGGUGUAUUAGAAAGAACAAAUGGUUGCACCAAGGGCUCUCUCAGAAGAAAAACCAAGUCAGCUGGACCAAUGCUUCGAUCCAGCUACGAGGCUUACGAGGAACGAACUAUACCUGCGCUAAGGCACUCACAUACAAACGAAUUUACGAGAGAAUGUCACUUGGACAGUACAGACAGUACAAAAGUAACAUCGAAACUUAAUGACAGAGAGAAGAAACAGGCUGCGCUACCAAUAUCCGUCUUUGGAAUGGAAAUGGUCGAAAAAUUUUAUUCCAAGCAAUUUACUGAUAAAGAAGAGGGAUUAAUGCAACUCAAAGAGGAAUUGCGGACAUUUGAUUCUGAAGUUUCAAAAAAUUCAGCAAACAAAACAGCAAGGGCGGCUAUUUUGCUGCUGCACAGAGCGCUUAGAGACAAAGUUUUCAGUGUCUACAGUCUAGCAGCUCAGUUAAUCAGGGUAUUCUUUACCGAGUUUGCUGUGGGUCGAGUAUCAUCUGCUGAAAUUGCUCGCAGUGUAGAUCGAUUGCUGCCAGAGCUCCUGACAAAAUCAGGCGAUACUACUCCAAGGAUCCAUAACAUGGCUGUUCACACUAUUCUCAGUAUGGCAGACUGCAAGUGUGUCAGAGAACUGCAUAUUAUACCGGUCCAUCUUAGCAGGCCUGUGAACAGUAGUACGCAUCAAAGAUUAGCUCUGAGUAGACUAGAAAUGGUCGAGCAGCUAAUAUUGAAUCACGGAAUAUCUACGGACAAACAGAGCGGUUUGACUUGCCGAACAUUGUCGGAGUUUGGCCUGUCUGGACUGCAUCAUCCAGCAGAAGCUGUGAGAAAAGUAUCGGAAAGAGUAUUGGUAUUGGUUUAUAAAGUGAAUCCAAGGCUUGUGAGAAAGCAGCUACCACCAGACGAUGAUAUCACUAGGAGAAAUCUCCUUUACAGACAAUUAUUCCAUGAAUUUGAUCUAGUCGAUCUUCAGAGAAAGAAAGAUGUAGAAACUAGUCAGAAAACCACGACGCCAGUUCACACAAAGCUUGUAGAAAAUAACGAAGCUAGCAUUGCUAAAUCUCCGCCAAGGUCUAGUCCCGUUGUUAGUACUAGUAGUUCUAUCAGCAUUACAUCACCGUCGGACAACAGCAGCGAUCACAAAGGGGACAAGAUGUGCAUAUUUUGUUUGUCGAAAGGUCAGGUAUAUUCAGAGGAAGGUUUGAAUAUACAUUAUUGGAGGACCUGUCCAAUGUUGACGAGAUGCGAGGCUUGUAAACAAGUUGUCGAAGUUUCGUACGUCAACCUACAUUUACUAAAACAUGCGAAUGAUCAAAACAAUUUCUUUACCAGACGAAUGCGAUAUGAGAAAUAAUUACAGCAAAUGUGAUACAUGUAAACAAGCAGUACACAUAGAAGACUUGAAGCGACAUUCAAAAAGUGACAAAUGUACUAAGCCAAUAGAAGGAUGCGAAAGAUGUCCACUAUGUCAGUUACAUAUUAAUCGGAAUAAAUGGCGAGAUCAUCUCAUGGGAGAUCAACCCUGUACAAAUAAUCCGCGGAAUAAGACAAACAAAAGCU